rnacentral:misc_RNA from 1 species
AAGUCGUAACAAGGUAACCGUAGGUGAACCUGCGGUUGGAUCAUUAACAAAUAACCCUUUAGAAGGCCGUGGCGCAAUCCUAGGAUUGUUGCCCGAACCUUUUAACACCUUUGUGAACCGUUUUAUUGUAUUUUGGUAGGUUAAACGAUGUGUUACUCAUUUUUUUGGAGGUUAAUUUUGUUCUAAAAGUGACUGAAUUCAAGAUGAGUGACGCAUUGAAUACUGCUUUCAUUUUGGUGGAAGUUGGAUUCACCUACCGGUUAUAAACUUGAAAUUUUGAAAAAAAAAAAAUGAGUCUUGAAUUAAAUUAUAUUCUAAUUUAAACAACUUUUGACAACGGAUCUCUAGGCUCUC